rnacentral:tmRNA from 1 species
AGCGUGCCGAGGUCGCCGGUUGGCCUCGUAAAACAACCGGCAAAAACACAAGUGCCGACAACUACGACGUCGCACUCGCAGCUUAAAUAGCUGCGACGCCCUUCCCACCUCGUCUGCAGGGUGGGUUCCAGGGUGUCAUCUUUUGCAGACUAGCGACGGUGUCGGGCUCCUUGACACCCGGGCGAAUCCCUGACAGGAGAUCGCAGUAGGGUAAGCCGGUUCGCAGGCGUCUCUGCUGCUAAAACAAAUAGCGGACUACGCACGUAGAAACCUCGAGUGAAUGGUCUUCGGACGGGGGUUCGAUUCCCCCCGCCUCCACCA